AGCUAAUCCAACAGAACAUUGGAAAAAUUACGCCAUAGUGCUUAGUUGCUUAGGUUGUGGAAAAGCUCUGAAGGUAUGGAAGGAGGGCAGUACUUCUUCGCCACAAAUUUGUACUGGUGUGCACAAAAGAAGCAUGUCAGUUUUAGGACAUUUGAAUUAUCAACCAAUCUACAGCAAACAGAUUCUAAAAAAAACAGGGCAUGUGAAGAACUCGAAAUCAGUCUGGAAACUGGAACAGAAAUUUUGCUCACCUUGUGCUGACUGUAUUUCUCCCUGAUUGCAGGUAAACUAGAAUUGUGGUUGUUACAGCAUAGGCGAUGAAGAGCCUUAACACAAUCACACAAAUCAGAGGGCUGGUAGAGUGUGUAGUGCCUCAAGGUAGAAUUCUGGACCAAAAUCAAUACCAGAUUGAAAUUAGGAGGUUUCAGAAGAGAAAGCUACAACAUAACUCGGUAGUCCAUAAGGCAUUUGAACAAGCAAAAUCUGCCUAACAUUU
rnacentral:lncRNA from 1 species